CAGCUGCUUGAGUACUACGAGCGUGUGCUUAAAACUCAAAGAACUUGGCGGCUUUUUAACUACCCAGGGGAACAUGCGCCUUAAUCCGAUGAUCCGCGUUUUCAUCUUACUGUACCUUGAAAGAGAACAGCUGGUGUAUUGCCGUUGUCAGCUUGUUGUUGAGCAAUAAGAAACAGGCUCAAUGGAACUAGAAAUGAAAAUUUGUGGGAUCCAUAAAUUCAGGUCGAAAUACUGCCAAUGGUACAAGGGAGUGGGUGUUACAAUUUUAAUUUAAAACUACGGAUCCAUGAAAAAAAUGAAAUUAUCUGGUGAAGGUGGACUUGGGAGUAAGAGGGGAUUAGUACGCCCCUCUGAACGUGGAGCUAAUUGGAGUACAAACCGCCCGUCGCUCUCGCCUUAAGGGGAGAUAAGUCGUAACAAGG
rnacentral:rRNA from 1 species